AACGAACGCUGGCGGCAUGCCUAACACAUGCAAGUCGAACGAGACCUUCGGGUCUAGUGGCGCACGGGUGCGUAACGCGUGGGAAUCUGCCCUCUGGUACGGAAUAACUCAGGGAAACUUGAGCUAAUACCGUAUAAUGACUUCGGUCCAAAGAUUUAUCGCCUGAGGAUGAGCCCGCGUAGGAUUAGCUAGUUGGUGGGGUAAAGGCCUACCAAGGCGACGAUCCUUAGCUGGUCGAGAGGAUGAUCAGCCACACUGGGACUGAGACACGGCCCAGACUCCUACGGGAGGCAGCAGUGGGGAAUAUUGGACAAUGGGCGCAAGCCUGAUCCAGCAAUGCCGCGUGAGUGAUGAAGGCCUUAGGGUUGUAAAGCUCUUUUACCCGGGAUGAUAAUGACAGUACCGGGAGAAUAAGCCCCGCUAACUCCGUGCCAGCCGCCGCUGU
rnacentral:rRNA from 1 species